rnacentral:rRNA from 1 species
AUUGAACGCUGGCGGCAGGCCUAACACAUGCAAGUCGAGCGAGCGGCGGCCGGGUGAGUAAUGUCUGGGAAACUGCCUGAUGGAGGGGGAUAACUACUGGAAACGGUAGCUAAUACCGCAUACCAUCAGAUGUGCCCAGAUGGGAUUAGCUAGUAGGUGGGGUAACGGCUCACCUAGGCGACGAUCCCUAGCUGGUCUGAGAGGAUGACAGGCCACCCUGGAACUGCGACACGGUCCAGCCGCCUACGGGAGGCAGCAGUGGGGAGUAUUGCACAAUGGGCGCAAGGCUGAUGCAGCCAUGCCGCGUGUAUGAGGAGGGCCUUCGGGUUUUAAAGUACGUUCAGCGGGGAGGCGUUACCCGCAGAAGAAGCACCGGCUAACUCCGUGCCAGCAGCCGCGGUAAUAC